ACAGGGUGACACAAAGAGAGCCACCUAACACCUGCAGCACAGGCUGCAAGUUUCAUUACAAGAAAGGAACCCCCAGCCUUGGGAACCCAAAUCUUUUAUAAUGAAUGAGAAAACUGAAGCAGCAAUUUGCCGAAGCUGACAUGGCCAGCAAGUGAAAGAACUGGGACUUGAAUCCAAGCCUGUUUGAAUGAAUAUAUUAACUCAUAACAGAAGUGGUCUUGAGGUCACCCACCUCAGACUCUGGCCUCUAUUUCAGGAGUACAGAUGCACCCCAUCCUAGAGGCAGCCAGAUAUUUUCAGCUUGAACAUCUCUAGAGUGAAUCCUCCAAUGAUUUUAUUCCUCCCCACCAUGAACAUCAGGCAUUUCUUCCUUAUCUCCAAUCAUAAUCUUUUGUUUUUGGCUUUGAUUUAAAAUUUCUCUCCUUUUGUGUUUCAGUCCAUUUUGUGUUGCUACAACAGACUACCCCACACUAGGUAAUUUAUAAAGAAAAGAGGUUUACUUUUUACAGUUCUGGAGGCUGGGAGGUCCGAUAUCAAGAUGCUGGCAUCUUGUGAGUGCCUUCUUGCUGUAUCAUCCCAUGGUGGAAGGUGGAAGGGCAAGAGAUGCCAAGAGCAAGUGAGCACAAGAGAAGGCUGAACUCACUUUUAUCAAGACCCAAUCUGAUGAUAAUGGCAUUCAUCCAUUCAUGAGGGUGGAGCCUUCAUGGUCUAAUCACCUCUUACUGGUCCCAACUCUUAAUACCAUCACAAUGGCAAUUAAAUCUCCACAUGGGUUUUGGAAGGGACAUUUAAACCAUAGCAACUUGUCAAGCUUCCUCAGACGUGAAACCAACUCUUGAUUAGCAAAUAGUCAAAUGCUCUUUUUGCAACAACACUAUGAAGCAGACAGUUUAAAUUUCCACUCAAUAGAUAGGAAUCUAAAGGCCUAAGAAGGGAAAGCAAGCCACCUAAGGUCACAUAGACCAGACAUAGUGGAUCCAGAACUUGAACCCAGGACAUUGGACACCAAAAACCACUCCAGCCAGUCUCUCCACAUCUUCCACUAUGUUGAAGGCACAGUGGUUGGUCUGAGAUCAUGGAAGGAACAGUCUUGGCUGUUUCCAAAGAGAAUAAGAAUGAAGAGGAAGAAAAAGCAAGACUAUGAAAGGGAUGCAUGAGAGGGAAAGAGCUGUCUCUUAGGUUCAGGGUGGAGUGUGUGAGGGUAAGAUGGAGAGCACAGGGACCAGCCUGGAGACUGGAGGGAGUGAAGAAAAAAUGUAAUAUAAAAUAUCUAUGCUCUUUACCAUGGCCUACAAGUUGGAGAUCCAUACAAUUAUGUUGGAACAACAAGCUUCAACCAGAACUGUCCCAGGCAAACUGGGACAUCUGGUCACCUGGCCUAAAGGCUCAUGAUCUGCUUCCUUCCUACCUCUCUGACCCUUUCUCCAUUCUCUCUCCCCCUCGUUUGUUAAGCCCAAGGCAUACUGCUCCUCUGUGAAAUUUCCAGGGUAUUGACACUCCAGGACCUUUGUACUUCCCUCUGCCUGAAAUGCUCUUUUCCCCGCCCUUCACACAGCAGCUUCUCUUCUUUUAGAGGCCUCAGAUGUCAUCUUUCAAGAGAGACUUUCCUGAUCUCCUCGUAUAAGUUCCACCCAAAGGACAAAAUGAUAACUGGAGGACCAGCUGGCUUUCCUGUAAACUUCUUCAAAGAAAGACCCGGCUGGUCACUGAGGGCAACUUCUGGGGCCCUGGGCAUGGACAGGGCACAGGUCAAGUAGGUGAUGGUGUGAUUAUGAGAGGGGUGCAUUUGUCCCACGACCCAGCACAACUUCCUAAUCAUCUCCUCUGUGCCCUCCCCUGGGCUGGCCCCUGGGGAUGGAGACAUUGAAGGACACAGUGCCUGCCCUAUUGGGUCCUGAAGUCUGGGGUGGCAAAAGGAGGCGCAUGAAGCCAACAGAUUAUAGGACAAUGCAGACUCAUAAUAGUUACCGACAAGAAUGAAUGAUGUGCAACAGGAAAGGGAGAGUCUGCUGCAGCCUGGAAGCAUCAGAGGAGGCCAGAGAGAGAAGGGAGUAUGGCAGCCCAUUCUUCAAAAAUGAGGACAUCUUUCACUGGAGAUGCAAACGCCUGAAAAGGAGGAUGGUGCAACUUCGAAGUGGGAGAGUGCAGGGAGAUGACAAUGAUAGGACAGGAGUGAGCUCUACUGUGAUGGCGUUUCAGUCUUUUUGCCCAGGCUGGAGUGCAAUGGUGCGAUCUCGGCUCACUGAAACCUCUGCCUCCCGGGUUCAAGUGAUUCUCCUACCUCAGCCUCCCAAGUAGCUGGGAUUACAGACAUGCACCACAUGCCCAGCUAACUUUGUAAAUAUUUUUAGUAGAGACAGGGUUUCUCCACGUUGGUCAGGCUGGUCUCGAGCUCCCGACCUCAGGUGAUCUGCCUGCCUUGGCCUCCCAAAAUGCUGGGAUUACAAGCGUGAGCCACUGUACCUAGUCAGAUCUGAUGGUUUUAAAAACAGGAGUUGCCCUGCACAAGCUCUCUCUUUGCCUGCUGCCACCCAUGUAAGAGGUGACUUCCUCCUCCUUGUCUUCUGCCAUGAUUGUGAGGCCUCCUCAGCCAGGUAGAACUGUAAGUCCAAUAAACCUCUUUCUUUUGUAAAUU